rnacentral:rRNA from 1 species
AGUGAACGCUGGCGGCAGGCCUAACACAUGCAAGUCGAGCGGCAGCGGGUCCUUCGGGAUGCCGGCGAGCGGCGGACGGGUGAGGAAUACAUCGGAAUCUGCCCUGUCGUGGGGGAUAACCUAGGGAAACUAGGCUAAUACCGCAUACGACCUACGGGUGAAAGCGGGGGAUCGCAAGACCUCGCGCGACAGGAUGAGCCGAUGUCCGGUUAGCUAGUUGGCGGGGUAAAGGCCCACCAAGGCGACGAUCGGUAGCUGGUCUGAGAGGAUGAUCAGCCACACUGGGACUGAGACACGGCCCAGACUCCUACGGGAGGCAGCAGUGGGGAAUAUUGGACAAUGGGCGCAAGCCUGAUCCAGCCAUGCCGCGUGGGUGAAGAAGGCCUUCGGGUUGUAAAGCCCUUUUGUCCGGGAAGAAAUCGUCUGGGCUAAUACCCCGGGCGGAUGACGGUACCGGAAGAAUAAGCACCGGCUAACUUCGUG